CCCUUAGAUGUUCUGGGCUGCACGCGUGCUACAAUGGCGUUUCCAGCAAGUCUGCGAACCCGAGAGGGCCAGCGGAUCUUCGAAUUGGCGCCGUGAUCGGGACAGUCGAUUGCAAUUAUUUGACUCAAACGAGGAAUUCCUUGUAAUCGCGAUUCAUCAUAUCGCGCUGAAUACGUCCCUGCCCUUUGUACACACCGCCCGUCGCUCCUACCGAUUGAGCGAUCCGGUAAAUGUUUUGGAUUGGUGCCGGGGCGGCUAGCUGCCGGUCGCUACGAAAUUUUGUGAACCUUAUCGCUUAGAGGAAGGAAAAGUCGUAACA
rnacentral:rRNA from 1 species